UAAAAAUUUGAUUUUAGUUUUUAUAUUUAAUUUAUGUUUUUAUUAUAUGUAAAUUUUAGUGUGUUAUUUUUUUUAAUAGGAAGUAAAUAAAUUGCAAUAAUUAACUUUAUACAAUGAGAGUAAUUUUGAUAUAAGAAUAUAUAAUAGUAUUAGUAAAAUUUGUGCCAGCAACUGCGGUUAAACAAGUGAUACAAUUAAAUAUUUAUUUAGUAAUAAUUAAUAAGAAAGGUUUUAAUUUAAAAUUAAAUUUAUUAAGUGAAAUUAGAGAUUUAAAUUAAAUUAGUAAAUUAGAUUAUAAUAUUAUGAAAUUUUUGUAAUAAACUAGGAUUAGAUACCCUAUUAUAAAAAGUAUAAAUAAAUAAUGCUAGGGAAGUAUUAGUUAUGUUCUUGAAAUUUAAAAAAUUUGGCGGUAUUUUAGUCUUCUCAGAGGAACCUGUCCUAUAAUCGAUAAUCCACGAUUAAUUUUACUUAAUUUAUUAGUUUACAUAUCGUCGUAAUUUGAAUAUCUUACCAGAGUAAUAAUAUUCAUAAUUUAUAAUUUAUAAAGUAAAUCAGAUCAAGGUGUAGCUUAUGGUUAAGGAGAGGUGGGUUACAAUAAAAAUACUUAUGAUGGUUAUAUUAAUUAAAAUUUUUAUAUAAGGUGGAUUUGAAAGUAAUAUAUUUAAUUUAAAAUAUAUGAUUUUAGCUCUAAAAUAUGCACAUAUCGCCCGUCGCUUUCAUUGAAACAUAAAGUGAAAUAAGUCGUAACAUAGUAGACUUACUGGAAAGUGUGUCUGGAUUGAC
rnacentral:ncRNA from 1 species